UCCUGGACAGAACAGGGGGCUAAAGUGCUUUAGCAUAUGCUGAUUCAGUCAGUAAAAUUUCAAAUAAUCUGCUUGAAAUCAUGACAAAAAAUAAACACCAUUCUCCUGGAAAAUAUUUAUCUACUCAAAGCAUGUAAGUUAAUCUGCAUUAAGGGUUUUUUGUUCUCAGCGUGACAUCCAUGAUUGGAUCAAGUCCGUCCCAUUUGAACAGACAGGAUGAUCAUAGGAAAAAUACCCAUACAGGAGUUCUGGGCAGGAGAAUAGAACUACAGUGCAUAGAAUGGACCUAAAAGAUGAAGUAGAAGAAAGCUGCUUACGUGUCGGGCCUCUCUGCGAAGCCCCUCGAUGUUCCUCAGCCAGCAGCGGCUCAACUCGCUCAGCUCCAGGAUGGGUUGGACCUUCAGCCUCAC